rnacentral:rRNA from 1 species
UACGAAGGGGGCUAGCGUUGCUCGGAAUCACUGGGCGUAAAGCGCACGUAGGCGGGUUGUUAAGUCAGGGGUGAAAUCCUGGAGCUCAACUCCAGAACUGCCUUUGAUACUGGCAACCUAGAGACUGGAAGAGGUUAGUGGAAUUCCCAGUGUAGAGGUGAAAUUCGUAGAUAUUGGGAAGAACACCAGUGGCGAAGGCGGCUAACUGGUCCAGCACUGACGCUGAGGUGCGAAAGCGUGGGGAGCAAACAGG